rnacentral:rRNA from 1 species
GUGGGGAAUUUUGGACAAUGGGCGCAAGCCUGAUCCAGCAAUGCCGCGUGCAGGAAGAAGGCCUUCGGGUUGUAAACUGCUUUUGUACGGAACGAAACGGUCCUGGUUAAUACCUGGGGCUAAUGACGGUACCGUAAGAAUAAGCACCGGCUAACUACGUGCCAGCAGCCGCGGUAAUACGUAGGGUGCGAGCGUUAAUCGGAAUUACUGGGCGUAAAGCGUGCGCAGGCGGUGCUGUAAGACAGGCGUGAAAUCCCCGGGCUCAACCUGGGAAUUGCGCUUGUGACUGCAGUGCUGGAGUACGGCAGAGGGGGAUGGAAUUCCGCGUGUAGCAGUGAAAUGCGUAGAUAUGCGGAGGAACACCGAUGGCGAAGGCAGUCCCCUGGGCCUGUACUGACGCUGAGGAGCGAAAGCGUGGGGAGCGAACAGGAUUAGAUACCCUAGUAGUCC